AUUUCUUUUAAUGCCACUUCACCUUUACUGCCGGUUUGUUUUACAAAUUCUGCGUAAAACGGUUUCAUCGCUUCUUUAAAUGGCGCAAGAUCCGGACGGGUAAUCGUAACGCCUUGU
rnacentral:antisense_RNA from 1 species